GUUUUGCUCUUCGGAAACAUCAGCUCUGCCUUCAUGAAACAACCCAGAUGCCUGAGACUGUGGGGAUGCAGAAGCACCCCAGUGUUUAGAAGCUAUCAGCAGGACUGGAUUAUAUUAUGCAUUGAAGGGCUAUCAGUGUAUUCGUUGUCAUUUGUCUCCUGGUGCCAGUGGUUGAGUAAGAGGAGCAGGACGCCAGCUGCCUGCAUCUGUAUUCAUGCCAUCUGAAGCUCCCACCUAAUGCCGAUGGGUGGAAGACUCACAGUCUUGGUAACAUUCCUGGUAUUGCAUAUCUCAUCUUUGUUUCAGUGUAAUUAGUCUGAAAGAAGAGAAAGGAUGUAGCUCCUUCCACCUCAAGGUGAACGGCUGAAGAUUCCUUAGGCUCCCAGAGCAAAUGGGAUUUGCAGAUUUGGCCCAGUUAAUCCCGAAUGGGAGUGUUUGCAGCUCCAAGUAAUGGGUGCUAUGUCCCAAGAGCCAAAGGGCAGGCAGGCGUGGCGGUAGUUCUCUGCUGUGUGACCUCUGACGUAAGGCAGGGUUUCAGGACCCCUGGCAAGGCAGGGGGUCGAGGCUUCCAGAUCUCGCAGCUCUGUAGCCUGCCAAGUUACCGCUGCAGAUCCUGGCAGAGGUAAUCAACCAAAAGCGGGAGGAAAGUGCUAGGCUUUUGCUGAACAGAGGGUUGUCUGGCAGGGUGGGUGUUCAUUAGCCAGGCUGCUGAUGGAAAGUAGUGCUUUUUCAGUCCCUGAAGUGGCUGUGAGUAUUGCAUUUGCUUUUCCCUCUCAGGUGGCUCUUAGCGGUGUAGGCAAGCACAAGCUGCCAGGAAACCUCAGUGGCAUCACCAAGGCGUGUGAGGCAUGAGCAGGGUGGACCUCCUAGUCUGCUGGGCCCAAGCAGGGACUGCACAUCAGUCACUGUGGGAGGUGGGUCUAAGGUCUGAGCUUUUGGAAAGCACGCAUGAAUUUCUUUCCUCUUUGAGACCAUGCGUGAAAUGGGAGAAACCUUCUUAUCUCCUUUGCUUGUGGAGGUGCUGCAAGGGCUAGAUUUGUUGCCUGCAGAAGCACACAGCAUAGAGAAGCACUGGAGAGAGUGCCUAUAUACUUUGUCACAUCCCUAAGACUUGCUCUUAGUUCUGUGUUUUGGUGUGUGGACGGUUACUCUGAAAGUGUUUGCUCAGAGCUCCUACGGGUGUUAAGUGCCUAUGGCCCCAGGCACCUCCUGGGGAUCUUUGGUAACUAAACUCCUUCACUGCAGCUGUUUGAAAUGAGGCUGGGCAAUAGCUUGGCCAGUAUUUCCUGGCAAUCACUUCUGUGCCAUUGAGAAGAUCAGCAGGGCUGAGCGCACAACCAGGCUGGUCCUGUCCUGACCCCACCAUGUGGCUAGGGGCUGCCCUCCAGCACGAGUCCCCUCACUAGCAGCAUCAUCUGCCUCCACUUGCUGCCCCCUUAUUUUCCUCUCAUAUUAAAAACCUUGUUUUCCUUUUACCCCUAGGGCAGAGGAAGGAAAGACAGGCUCAUACAGGAGCUGUUUCCAGGCUUUUGAGGAAAGAAAAGACAAAAAUGUUAUGUGAUGGGGCAGGGAGCAUUCGCUGUAGUCAGGCUGAGGGCUUUACCUGCACGGCUCCGACUCCAGCCCUGAGCUCGGAGGAGCAGGGCUGUGGGCCUGCCGCUGUAGGCAUGUAACUGUCACAAAGGAGAUAGACAUGAAACUACUCAGCAACUUUUGCCUCACCCAGAGCCAGAAGGGUUUUUUUGAAAACAAAAAUAAAGGGAAAAUUCAGUCUCCACCCAUCCACCCAAUUUGGACGGUAAAUCAAAUAAAACAAUCUCAGAGCUGGCACCACCAGAACAUUGAAAUGCCAGCUCCCAGCCUCUCACAUGAGGUGUCGAAAUGAAAUGAGAUGAACAAACAACCUCCAGAGGCCUGGGGCAAUAAACUGGUUUUCAGAUG